GUGUCAGCCGCCGCGGUAAUACAGAGGUCUCAAGCGUUGUUCGGAUUCAUUGGGCGUAAAGGGUGUGUAGGUGGCGCGCUAAGUCGGGUGUGAAAUUUCGGAGCUUAACUCCGAAACUGCAUUCGAUACUGGCGUGCUUGAGGACUGGAGAGGAGACUGGAAUUUACGGUGUAGCAGUGAAAUGCGUAGAUAUCGUAAGGAAGACCAGUGGCGAAGGCGGGUCUCUGGACAGUUCCUGACACUGAGACACGAAGGCCAGGGGAGCAAACGGGAUUAGAAACCCCAGUAGUCC
rnacentral:rRNA from 1 species